rnacentral:rRNA from 1 species
CCUACGGGAGGCAGCAGUGGGGAAUAUUGCACAAUGGGGGGAACCCUGAUGCAGCGACGCCGCGUGGGUGAAGGAGCACCUCGGUGCGUAAAGCCCUAUCGGCAGGGAAGAAAGGCGGGCGGGGCCCGUCUGGACGGUACCUGACUAAGAAGCCCCGGCUAACUACGUGCCAGCAGCCGCGGUAAUACGUAGGGGGCAAGCGUUAUCCGGAUUCACUGGGUGUAAAGGGAGCGUAGACGGCGACGCAAGUCUGGAGUGAAAGCCCGGGGCCCAACCCCGGGACUGCUCUGGAAACUGCGGCGCUGGAGUACGGGAGGGGCAGGCGGAAUUCCUGGGGUAGCGGUGAAAUGCGUAGAUAUCAGGCAGAACCCCGAUUGCGAAGGCAGCAUGCCGGCUUCCGACUGACGCUGAAGCACGAAAGCGUGGGGAUCGAACAGGAUUAGAUACCCCUGUAGUC